rnacentral:rRNA from 1 species
GCUGGCGGUAUGCUUAACACAUGCAAGUCGAACGGUAACAGGCCGCUGGGAUCCCUUCGGGGUGAACUUGGCGCUGACGAGUGGCGGACGGGUGAGUAAUACUUAGGAAUCUACCCAGUAGCGGGGGACAACUCGGGGAAACUCGAGCUAAUACCGCAUACGCCCUACGGGGGAAAGCAGGGGAUCUUCGGACCUUGCACUAUUGGAUGAGCCUAAGUCGGAUUAGCUUGUUGGUGAGGUAAAGGCUCACCAAGGCGACGAUCCGUAGCUGGUCUGAGAGGACGAUCAGCCACACUGGGACUGAGACACGGCCCAGACUCCUACGGGAGGCAGCAGUGGGGAAUAUUGGACAAUGGGCGCAAGCCUGAUCCAGCAAUACCGCGUGUGUGAAGAAGGCCUGCGGGUUGUAAAGCACUUUCAGUAGGGAAGAAAAGCCUAGGGUUAAUACCCCUGAGUCUUGACGUUACCUACAGAAGAAGCACCGGCUAACUCCGUGCCAGCAGCCGCGGUAAUAC